AACCGGAGCUAAUACCGGAUAAUAUUUCGAACUGCAUGGUUCGAUAGUGAAAGAUGGCUUUGCUAUCACUUAUAGAUGGACCUGCGCCGUAUUAGCUAGUUGGUAAGGUAACGGCUUACCAAGGCAACGAUACGUAGCCGGACCUGAGAGGGUGAUCGGCCACACUGGAACUGAGACACGGUCCAGACUCCUACGGGAGGCAGCAGUAGGGAAUCUUCCGCAAUGGGCGAAAGCCUGACGGAGCAACGCCGCGUGAGUGAUGAAGGUCUUCGGAUCGUAAAACUCUGUUAUUAGGGAAGAACAAACGUGUAAGUAACUGUGCACGUCUUGACGGUACCUAAUCAGAAAGCCACGGCUAACUACGUG
rnacentral:rRNA from 1 species